rnacentral:rRNA from 1 species
UACGAAGGGGGCUAGCGUUGUUCGGAAUUACUGGGCGUAAAGGGCGCGCAGGCGGCCCUUGAAGUCAGGCGUGAAAGCCCCGGGCUCAACCUGGGAGGUGCGCUUGAUACUCGAGGGCUUGAGUGCGGGAGAGGAGAGUGGAAUUCCCAGUGUAGAGGUGAAAUUCGUAGAUAUUGGGAAGAACACCGGUGGCGAAGGCGGGUCUCUGGGCCGAUAUUGACGCUGAGGAGCGAAAGCGUGGGGAGCAAACAGG